UACGUAGGGUGCAAGCGUUAAUCGGAAUUACUGGGCGUAAAGCGUGCGCAGGCGGUUUCGUAAGUCUGUCGUGAAAUCCCCGGGCUCAACCUGGGAAUUGCGAUGGAGACUGCGAGGCUUGAGUGUGGCAGAGGGGGGUGGAAUUCCGCGUGUAGCAGUGAAAUGCGUAGAGAUGCGGAGGAACACCGGUGGCGAAGGCGGCAUCCUGGACCGGCAUUGACGCUGAGGAGCGAAAGCCAGGGGAGCAAACGGG
rnacentral:rRNA from 1 species